UGGGAAGGCUGCUACUUUGGUUUUAGUAC
rnacentral:piRNA from 1 species